rnacentral:rRNA from 1 species
UACGUAGGGUGCAAGCGUUGUCCGGAAUUACUGGGCGUAAAGAGCUCGUAGGUGGUUUGUCGCGUUGUUCGUGAAAACUCACAGCUCAACUGUGGGCGUGCGGGCGAUACGGGCAGACUUGAGUACUGCAGGGGAGACUGGAAUCCCUGGUGUAGCGGUGGAAUGCGCAGAUAUCAGGAGGAACACCGGUGGCGAAGGCGGGUCUCUGGGCAGUAACUGACGCUGAGGAGCGAAAGCGUGGGGAGCGAACAGG